AGCAUGUGCACGAAUGAGUAAAAAUAUCUGUGGGAAUACUGUUAUAGGACUUGUGGUAAAUUAGUGGAAUGGACCUAUCUUCUUUGAAAUAGUGACUGGUCAUUUGAUGGAUAAAUAUUUGGAUUUAAAGAUGGUCAAUUUUCAAACAUGAAGGUUGACAACUUUAUAAGCACUUAGAGCAUGGGCGUCCAUACCCAUAAGCAGCGGGGGGCCGUGGACCCCCCUUCUCGGAUGCUUUAAAUUAUAUAUGGUUAUCCAAAGUAUACAAAAUGUAAUGUGCAACAUCUUCACGUCUGCCCCCCCUAAAAAUUUUUAUAUGGGCGCCCGUGACUUAGAGUACUUAGUUGCUAUCAAAAAUAGAUACUUACUGAAUAAAAUACUCAAUAUUGACAUAAUUUGAGGUUCCCGGAGACUGAGGAUCCUGCACUGUUUGAGUGGAAUCUCUCUUUGACUCCAAAGGAAGAGUACUAGUAGAGCUGAACACGUUUUCUGUACUGGAAUGAUUAC